rnacentral:rRNA from 1 species
GAUGAACGCUGGCGGCGUGCCUAAUACAUGCCAGUCGAGCGAACAGACGAGGAGCUUGCGCCUCUGACGUUAGCGGCGGACGGGUGAGUAACACGUGGAUAACCUACCUAUAAGACUGGGAUAACUUCGGGAAACCGGAGCUAAUACCGGAGAAUAUAUUGAAGCGCAUGGGUCAAUAGUGAGAGACGGUGGUGGUGUCACUUAUAGAGGGAUCUGGGCCGCAUGAGCUAGUUGGUAAGGUAACGGCUUACCAAGGCGAGGAGGCGUAACCGACCUGAGAGGCUGAUCGGCCACACUGGAAGUGAGACACGGUCCAGACUACUACGGGAGGCAGCAGUAGGGAAUGUUCCGCAAUGGGCGAAAGCCUGACGGAGCAACGCCGCGUCAGUGACGACGGUCUUCGGAUCGUAAAACUCUGUUAUUAGGGAAGAACAAAUGUGUAAGUAACUAUGCACGUCUUGACGGUACCUAAUCAGAAAGCCCCGGCUAACUACGUG